rnacentral:lncRNA from 1 species
AUGUAGAGUUCCCAACCUCCCCCGGAGGUUCAUCUUUACUACUAGAUACUGCUGCAAAUCUGUUACUCACAGUGAUGGGCGACAGAGGUGGAAAAUUGGUACUGUUGAAUGCUGGGCUCUGAGGUUGCUUUCCUUUGUCAUUGCUCUUAUCACCCCUCUGGUUCUGGCCUGACCUGGAUUCAUGCUGAGGUCCACUAGGCUCCCUUGUUGGGGACUGCCUCUGUAUUGGCAUAGCAGGUCCCUUGGUU